CCUACGAGAGGCAGCAGUGGGGGAUAUUGCACAAUGGGGGAAACCCUGAUGCAGCGACGCCGCGUGAGUGAAGAAGUAUUUCGGUAUGUAAAGCUCUAUCAGCAGGGAAGAAAAAAGACGGUACCUGACUAAGAAGCCCCGGCUAACUACGUGCCAGCAGCCGCGGUAAUACGUAGGGGGCAAGCGUUAUCCGGAUUUACUGGGGGGAAAGGGAGCGUAGACGGCAAUACAAGUCGGAAGUGAAAUAACCGGGCUCAACCUGGGAAUUGCUUGGGAAACUGUAUGGCUGGAGUGCUGGAGAGGUAAGCGGAAUUCCUAGUGUAGCGGUGAAAUGCGUAGAUAUUAGGAGGAACACCAGUGGCGAAGGCGGCUUACUGGACAGUAACUGACGUUGAGGCUCGAAAGCGUGGGGAGCAAACAGGAUUAGAUACCCUAGUAGUC
rnacentral:rRNA from 1 species